rnacentral:lncRNA from 1 species
GUAAUGGGCAACCCCAUCCACCAGCAGCUCCUGUGGGCUUCUUCUCAUGAAGGUGGCAGGAUUCCAAGAGAGGAGCUGGGAAUAUUCCAGUGGUUUUAUAAGUCUCUGUGUGACAGACCUUCCUAACUCCCACUGGUCAAAUCAAGCCAGAUGACUGGUCCCAGAAGGGAGGGAGCUAUACAGUCACAGAUCGGAGGGAUGGAUGGGUGCAGGAGAAUCACAACUGCAGCCAUUACUGCAGCCACAUAACCACUAAGCCACUAAGCUCCAGUGAUGAGAACUUUACAAACUCUUGAGACUAUUUCCUUAUUUUUGGUUUCUCUGCCACUAACUUCUUUUUUUUUCCUUAGACUUUUUAUUGUUGUUUUUACAUAAUGCAUAAAAAGUGAAGAGAGGAGACAUGAUCUCGCAUAUACGAUUGAGAGCCUUCGGUAUGACGCUAAGGCCAUUGGAUGUAAUGGAUAAAGGAAAGGGCCCUGGUCCCAGAUGGUUUUGGGUUCAAAAUCUCAUAUCCUUCACUUCUAGUUGCAAUAAUGCACAACAUUCUUCUUCCUUUUUUUCUUUUUAAAGUCCUCCCUCGUCUAUGGGAUAAAUAGCUAAGGCCAUAGUCCCUGUGCUAUGUUAAGUAAUGUUUCUAUUAAAUUCAUGUUCACCUAAUGUGAUGGUUAAUCUGAAUUGUCAACUUGAGUGGAUUCAGAGAUGCCUAUGAUUAAGAGGCUUUCCUGGGUGUAUCGAUGAUUAGAUGUUUCUCGAAAUGAUUGGCUUGUGAGAUAGGAAACUGAGGGAGACCCACCCUAAAUGUGGGCAACAAGGUUUGUUAGCUUGGGGGCCAGAAUGGAAUACAAGGUGGAAGAAGGAAGCUGCCGUGGAGUAAGCUGGAUUCUUCUUGAGUGGGUGCUUUGAUUCCUGCUGCAAUCAGCUGAGAGCAUCAGACUCCAGCUCCUUCAUGCUUCCAAAGCUGACUCUGACCAGCAACUUUCAGGGAGCCACCAGGCCUUCAGUCCUGGACUGGGGCUGCAUCGUUGAUCCCUCCUGUUCUGAGGCUCCACCUUCUUGGAGUGAGCAGCUACUGGUUCCUCCAGCUCUCCAGGCUGCAGACGGCCAUUAUGGGACCAUCCAGCUUGUGGUCAUGUAAAUUAAUCUGAUAAAUCCCCUUUUGUAUUCAUACAUAUGUAUAUAUUUCCUAUUGCUUGGGUUCCUCUAGAGGACCCUGACAAAUACACCUAGAAACUGAUACACAGAAAGAUUACAGAUACACAGGAAGAAGGCCACACGAAGAAGAGAACAAGAUAAUAGAAUUCGGCAUGUGCAAACCAAAGGCACGGAAUUGCUGGCAACCACAGAAAGCUAGGAAGAGACAGGGAAUGUCCUAUGCUGGAGACUUUGAGAGAGCUGACUGCUGAUACCUCCAUUCUGGACUCUUAUCCUCCAGAUCGGUG